UGCAGAUUCAACAUAUGUAUAUGUAAAAUUCACGUAUUAUCAAAUUAAUUUUGAUAUACGUGAUAGAUGAUUAUGAAAAAAAUUACUACCUUCUAAGAGUUUCGUGCAGAUAACGUGUUAUAAAAUGGAAGGAAAAGAGAAUAGAGAAAACUCAAAGAGAAUGGAGAAAACUCAAUAAACUUUUUGUGUGUAUUAUUGAAAACCAAAGCCCUAUAUUUAUAGGUAAGAAUCAGAGAUACAAUGGUAAUAAUUUCUAGGGCUACAGGGGUUCAAAUGUUAUUCACCAAUAAACCUUAAUGGACUUUCCAUUUACAACACAAGCAACAAUUCUAAGAUUUUAUCAAGCAAAAUUUAUCCAUGCUUAAUAGCAAGAGGUUAAGGUGAUCAGUGGAAGAUAAACCAUUUGCAAACUGGCUUGAAAACCUCCCAUUCUGGAGCACAAAGGGUUGUCAAGAAUUUAACACUCAGUGCCCCUAUGCACAAACGAUGGAAGUUUACACCGACUCAAAUCAUAAGUUCCUGUUCCAUACUUGAUAGUUUAUGAUUGAUGAACACAUGCCACAGAGAAAGUUGUCCAGGAUUUACAACAGGAUAAUAAAUUUGCCGUAAUUAUAGAAAUGAUUAGUCUCACCAAUUGAAAACGGUAAAAAAUCAACUGAUGCAGAACAAUCUGAAAAUUCAUGUUCAAUAUAAUCAAACCAAAAGGAAUCUCUGUGUUUUCAAUAUUGGAAUAAAAAAGGGAUAGGGGUUGCUAUAGCAAGUUUUUCUACCAUAUUUUUCCAGUGCUUCCAUUCCACGGUAAUUAGUUGCUUCUGAACCUGCAAUUUAAAUGGAAUGAUCAUUUUAAGAUAUGCAGAAAAUGGUGAAAAAUCAUAUACUCAGUUUAGCUUAAAAAUAAAGUUCAACCCAAUAUCGCAUAGUGAAGGAGAAAGAUGUGUCAACUAUUAAUCUACAGAAGACAAGAAACACAGAAAUAAAUUGAAAUGUUCGCUUCCAAUUAGUAACCAAAACCGCCCCCUACACAAACCAAACAAAAGCUUCCUUGUAAGACAUGAACAGAGUUAAUAAUAGGUCAGAUAAGUUUAGGUAGUUAUCGAAACUCAUUUGCAACCAAAACCGUCGUCCCCCUCCCCCACAAUAAGACAUGAACAGAGUUAAUGAUGUGUCAGAUAAGUUUAGGUAGUUAUCGAAACUCAUUUGCAACCAAAACCGUCCUCCCCCUCCCCCACAAUAAGACAUGAACAGAGUUAAUAAUGAGGCAGAGAGUUUUCAGGAAAAAAAGGAAUUCAGCUUAUAGAUUAAACAAGAUAAUCACAAAAACAUUAAAUGAAUAGUUCAAGUUUAGGGGGUUUUGCAGAGGGUAAAUGUUGGUUAAGAUAACUUCAUGAAUCUGAGUUUUGGAAGCAUUUGGUCAUUGAGAAAACUAUAACCAUAAACACAUUCAUGACUGCAUAAAUUAUGUAAAUAUCAAAUUCACCCAUUGAAUUUCUAACAAUUCCACAGUUAGAUGAAGUAAAAUCCAACACCUCGGUAUAACUAGGACUCAUUUUCCCUAUAUAUCAUGAUUCAACUAUGAUAAACAAGACAGCAGAUAUGACGCGAAGAUAAGUUAGCAACAAGGACA
rnacentral:lncRNA from 1 species